CCCUUAGAUGUUCUGGGCCGCACGCGCGCUACACUGAUGCAUUCAACGAGUCUAAAACCUGCUCUGAUAGGGGUGGGUAAUCUUUUGAAUGUGCAUCGUGAUUGGGAUAGAUGAUUGCAAUUUUUCAUCUUCAACGAGGAAUGCCUAGUAAACGCAAGUCAUUAGCUUGCAUUGAUUACGUCCCUGCCCUUUGUACACACCGCCCGUCGCUCCUACCGAUUGAAUGAUCCGAUGAAUAUCAUGGAUUGAGGAUGCAAGUAGGUUCGCCUAUCUUCAUCUUCGAGAAGUGAAGUAAAUCUUAUCAUUUAGAGGAAGGAGAAGUCGUAACA
rnacentral:rRNA from 1 species